GACGAACGCUGGCGGCGUGCUUAACACAUGCAAGUCGAACGGAAAGGCCCUGCUUUUGUGGGGUGCUCGAGUGGCGAACGGGUGAGUAACACGUGAGUAACCUGCCCUUGACUUUGGGAUAACUUCAGGAAACUGGGGCUAAUACCGGAUAGGAGCUCCUGCUGCAUGGUGGGGGUUGGAAAGUUUCGGCGGUUGGGGAUGGACUCGCGGCUUAUCAGCUUGUUUGUGGGGUAGUGGCUUACCAAGGCUUUGUCGGGUAGCCGGCCUGAGAGGGUGACCGGCCACAUUGGGACUGAGAUACGGCCCAGACUCCUACGGGAGGCAGCAGUGGGGAAUAUUGCACAAUGGGCGGAAGCCUGAUGCAGCAACGCCGCGUGCGGGAUGACGGCCUUCGGGUUGUAAACCGCUUUCGCCUGUGACGAAGCGUGAGUGACGGUAAUGGGUAAAGAAGCACCGGCUAACUACGUG
rnacentral:rRNA from 1 species